rnacentral:rRNA from 1 species
CAGCGCCACGGUAAUACAGAGGGUGCGAGCGUUAAUCGGAUUUACUGGGCGUAAAGCGUGCGUAGGCGGCUUCUUAAGUCGGAUGUGAAAUCCCUGAGCUUAACUUAGGAAUUGCAUUCGAUACUGGGAAGCUAGAGUAUGGGAGAGGAUGGUAGAAUUCCAGGUGUAGCGGUGAAAUGCGUAGAGAUCUGGAGGAAUACCGAUGGCGAAGGCAGCCAUCUGGCCUAAUACUGACGCUGAGGUACGAAAGCAUGGGGAGCAAACAGGAUUAGAUACCCCUGUAGUCCCUGUCUCUUAUACA